GCAAUUCCAGGGCUUCUGCGACUAACUGUAGAGGGAACAUCUGAAGCUCAAGAAAGAGCUCGAAUGCUCUUAGACCUGCUCAGAGAUACCCCUCAGGAAAAUAAAUUAGCAUCCUCAGUAUUGAAGAGAAUUGUUUAUGACAUUGCUGCUCGAGUUGAUGGCUCUGAUAAAGCAGCUGAAACGGCCAAGAGGCUGCUGCAGGACAUGGUUCAAAGAAGUAUGGAGCAUAGCAUGGACCGAAUCCAGCGAAAUGCUGCAUCUUGUACGCCUUCUGAGAUUUCAUCCACACGGCGUAUCCUGUUGACUUGAGGAGAACAUUUUCGAGUAACGUGGGUUAGAGUUUUAAUGUUUGGCCAGUUAAAACUAUUGUACCCAUUUCAUUGUAAUCAAACAAAGAUGAAUGAACAUACUAAUGUACUGAAGUAGAUUUCACUGGAGUCUACUUUCUUGAGGUGAUAUCUUAAUUGCGACCCUCAACAGUGUGCUGUACAUCCCUCCUGUAUAUAUGAGAAGUCUUUGUUUGAUUACAAUGAAAUGGGUAC
rnacentral:misc_RNA from 1 species